UACGUAGGGUGCAAGCGUUAAUCGGAAUUACUGGGCGUAAAGCGUGCGCAGGCGGUUGAUGUAAGACAGUUGUGAAAUCCCCGGGCUCAACCUGGGAACUGCAUCUGUGACUGCAUCGCUGGAGUGCGGCAGAGGGGGAUGGAAUUCCGCGUGUAGCAGUGAAAUGCGUAGAUAUGCGGAGGAACACCGAUGGCGAAGGCAAUCCCCUGGGCCUGCACUGACGCUCAUGCACGAAGCGUGGGGAGC
rnacentral:rRNA from 1 species